rnacentral:lncRNA from 13 species
CAGAGACUACUCCGUGCCUGGAUGAGUUUUGUGGACUGUGGAACACAAUAGUAACUGGCCCUAGGGGCAUGCAGAGGAACACUGGAUUACCAGAAGAGAAGAGUGUGGAAAAACUCUCCAGAAG